rnacentral:rRNA from 1 species
GACGAACGCUGGCGGCGUGCUUAACACAUGCAAGUCGAACGGAAAGGCCCUGCUUUUGUGGGGUGCUCGAGUGGCGAACGGGUGAGUAACACGUGAGUAACCUGCCCUUGACUUUGUGAUAACUUCAGGAAACUGGGGCUAAUACCGGAUAGGAUCUCCUGCUGCAUGGUGGGGGUUGGAAAGUUUCGGCGGUUGGGUAUGGACUCGCGGCUUAUCAGCUUGUUUGUGUGGUAGUGGCUUACCAAGGCUUUGACGGGUAGCCGACCUGAGAGGGUGAACGGGCACAUGGGGACUGAGAUACGGACCAGAAUGCAACGGGAGGCAGCAGUGGGGAAUAUUGCACAAUGGGCGGAAGCCUGAUGCAGCAACGCCGCGUGCGGGAUGACGGCCUUCGGGUUGUAAACCGCUUUCGCCUGUGACGAAGCGUGAGUGACGGUAAUGGGUAAAGAAGCACCGGCUAACUACGUG